CCAAACGUUGUACUGGCUUAUGACGCAUCUUCAGUAAAUGGUAACGCUGUGGAGAGGCAGCGGUUCUUUGGCGUUACCAUGGCGCUCUCUAGCGGGUCUUUACACAUAAACACUUGAUAAAAAGCUUCAUCUGCUGAAGAACAACACGAGCAAACCUUCUGAUAACUGACGCUCGGGGACACAGCUGUAUUAUUGUAGCUAGCUAGCUAUGAGCUACCGUGAAGCUACAGGUUAUAUAGUAAGUAAUCACGGGUUGUGCUUUCUCACUAUUUCGGGUGUAAAAGUUUAACGCUAGCGUCACUUCUCUCUAUUUAACACAACAGUACAAACGUCAGGUGAGCUAUGUUGUUCUCAUCACUUAUGACGUCAAAUAACUUGUUUUGUAGAUUCACUUAUUAUCGGCUUUGGAAACAAAGAAAAAAAAAACGGAGGUGAAAGUAAAUGUAGCAAACUGUAACGAUAUGAACAGCCCUGAUCGCGGACGCCAGAAGCCGGCGUCGGCCUCACACCAACAAAGAGCAGUGUGGCCAAGCGAGAGCGAAAUCCUCCUCAACUUCCGGUACCGCUCUGAAGUGUUGCAUACCAGCUGACCGACCGUACAGCGGAUAAUAUUGACGUUAUACUUAACAGCCGAGGGACAAAGCAUGGGAGUGCAUUUGCAGAGCCGCACUACCUGCAUACAUCCAGCAGGCAGAGGAAGAGUUCUGCCACUUGCUCCUUCAAUUCAUUCCUGCAAGCAAUACCUCAUCCAGAUGGUACACAUCAGGAGAAUAUACGAGUGACAAACAUUAUGAUGUAAAACUGACACUGUUUGAGUUUUUAUCACCUCAAUGUGUUAGAAAUGGAUCGAUCGACCAAGUGUUGUCCAAGUUUAAGCCCUUUAACUCCCUUACGUGACAGUUAUAUCAUAUUACUGGACGCACCUCAAGUUUCAAGUUUUUGCAAGCUAGUCCUCACACACUGAUGGCUUAAAUAACAAGCAGAGGGUGCUGUUUGGAUUGCACAGUAAAAAAAAAAAACUGCACUGGUGAGGUGUGAGGAAUUGGGAAACUCCUCACGCGUUUCUGUUAGGAAUUAUUAUUGUUAGAUGUAUUUCACAUUUGAUUUGUCCAAUUAUUACCACUCUGUGUUCUAUCAACGCCCACGUUGAAUGACUCUCGGUCGGUUCACAGAUGGUCGAGUGCGGUGCUGGACAAAGGUGUUAUUGGCCGUGUGCUCGGAAAACCUUCGGAUCCGACACCGCAGACUUGAGAAAAGCAGAGCGGCUUAUGAGCGCUGACCGGCCCCGAGUGGUUAUUGUUAUGUUUGGACCCACCGAGCGGAGAGAGCACCGGCUCCUGAGUGGGCGUGUGGUUGCCCCCCCCCAUUUGCCACCAUGCGAGGAGGCCCAGGUGCCUGCUUUUUUUUCCAGAGGCCACAGUGGAAACGGAGCCGUUAAGACGGCAUUCAAGCCGUCGGUAUGAGCCGAGUCAGCCCGUUUCCGCUGUGGUGAGUAUUCACAGCACUUCCCCCCCCAUCGUGCACGUUUUAUAAAUGGUAUUAUCCUUAAGGGAAUCACAUAGUGGUAUUAAGAUAAUAACAAUUGACGCACGCAAGACAGUGUUCUGUGUAGGCGUAGAGGAGCUUUUCAUCCUUAAAAAAACUAAAACCUGUGCUCGACGUGGAAAGCGUUUUUAAAGAUCUUUGCAUUCAUAAGAAGACAUAUCUGGAUAAAGAGAAUGUACAGAUGCAGACAAUCUGCACAGCCAUCUUUUUGAUUUCACACUGUCACUUUAACUGUAAUUUAUCACUUUGUCGUCACUCGUCACUUUGUUCGCUAGUGCAC